GCAGAUGCUUCCUCGGCACUUCAACUGUCUGAAAGCUGCAGCGGAUCUAAAUUUCACAGACUGAUUAACACGUCUCCGGUGGGGCAUGCAGCUGUCGUGGGGUCCUCGUGUUAUCAGCAGCAGAGUUGUAACCAAGCGUUUUUGUUACCUGGGGUCUUCAGAUACAGGAUCCGUCUGGCUAUGUGGAGAAAAGGAGAGAAGUGGUACUGAGAUGCCUGAUUGAGUACAUAUGGGAGGGAAAGGAAGACCUCAUAAGUGUCCACCAUAGUCAUGAUGAAACAGAGGUGCACGCUGAGCUUGGCAGUUCCCCACUGAAAAUAUACACGUGCCAUCAGCCAAACACGAUUGGGAUUAUCACAGUUGAAGGACAGCCCAUGGUCAGAGGUGUGCCAAACCUGUAGAAAACCUCCUCUUUGGACUUGUCUAUGCCCACAACCUCUAAUAUCACUCAA